CACAAACAUAUGAAGGCUGUACGGGCUGUGCUCGGGCACAGUACUGCGGGCUGUAAUUAUUAUUCACCCAUGUCUUUUGCGCACUUGUUGUUUCCUGGGCGAGUUCGCCGCCACCAGGACCCCAUCAUAAACCUUUCUUAUGCAGUUGCAAUCAGCGUCAGUAUAACAAUAUUGAAUUAUUA
rnacentral:misc_RNA from 1 species